rnacentral:rRNA from 1 species
UACGGAGGGGGCUAGCGUUGUUCGGAAUUACUGGGCGUAAAGCGCACGUAGGCGGCUUUGUAAGUUAGAGGUGAAAGCCCGGGGCUCAACCCCGGAAUUGCCUUUAAGACUGCAUCGCUAGAAUUGUGGAGAGGUAAGUGGAAUUCCGAGUGUAGAGGUGAAAUUCGUAGAUAUUCGGAAGAACACCAGUGGCGAAGGCGGCUCACUGGCCCGAUACUGACGCUGAGGUGCGAAGGCGUGGGGAGCAAACAGG